UACGGAGGGAGCUAGCGUUGUUCGGAAUUACUGGGCGUAAAGCGCGCGUAGGCGGCUUUGUAAGUUAGAGGUGAAAGCCCGGGGCUCAACCCCGGAACUGCCUUUAAGACUGCUUCGCUUGACUCCGGGAGAGGUGAGUGGAAUUCCGAGUGUAGAGGUGAAAUUCGUAGAUAUUCGGAAGAACACCAGUGGCGAAGGCGGCUCACUGGACCGGUAUUGACGCUGAUGUGCGAAAGCGUGGGGAGCAAACAGG
rnacentral:rRNA from 1 species